rnacentral:rRNA from 1 species
UACGUAGGGUGCAAGCGUUAAUCGGAAUUACUGGGCGUAAAGCGUGCGCAGGCGGCUUUGCAAGACAGAUGUGAAAUCCCCGGGCUCAACCUGGGAACUGCAUUUGUGACUGCAAGGCUGGAGUACGGUAGAGGGGGAUGGAAUUCCGCGUGUAGCAGUGUAAUGCGUAGAUAUGCGGAGGAACACCGAUGGCGAAGGCAAUCCCCUGGGCCUGUACUGACGCUCAUGCACGAAAGCGUGGGGAGCAAACAGG